UCUCAUAUGGUCUAGUGGCUAGGAUACUUGGCUUUCACCCAAGAGGCUCGGGUUCGAUUCCCGGUAUGGGAA
rnacentral:tRNA from 1 species